UUAACAUUACCGAGGGAAUAUCGAGAAUCCAGCAACGGCAGCGACGAACCAAUGCUACCUUCAGAAUUGCCAAGAAGGAAGCCGCCACCAGUCUCGUGAGGAAACUGUAGGUGAUUCCUACCACUUGGCUGGCCCAUGACAGGAAUAACAAAUUCCCGAGGUGUUCUAUAGUUCCUGACAGCGUAAGAGGACAACCUAAGGACAGCGUAAAGACUCUCUGCAUAAAGACAUCUUUGACAAUAUGCAGGAGAAAGCUCUAAAUCCAACCCUCUCCGAGAUACAGCCUACCGAAGGUGCAAAUUUGAGUAAUAUCAAAAUUCAAGAACAGGGAUUCCUUGAAUGUGGCCCUAUCCAAAUUUGAUCUGUCCCAGCCUCUUCUAUGGACCAUUUUGACUUUCUGCACAAGCAGAUGUUUAAAAAUAUCAAGGAAAAAUUUGUAAAUCCAACCCUUUCCGAGAUGCAGCCUCCCGAAGAUGCAAUUUCGAGUAUUUUCAAAAUUCAAGAACAGGGAUUUUUUGAAAGUAAUGUCGUAUACUGUAUCAUUAUUGCAUUUGUCGAAUAAAUUAUCUUGUAACACUUA